ACAGCUGUUGUGUUUGGGCUUUUCUUCAUUUGCUUUAGCCUAGGACUUUGCCACCCCCACUAUUAUUGCUGUACUUUCCAUCGCUUUAUAGCAUUACACAGCCAUAAAUAGCUUUCUAAAGGAGAAGUUUUGAAGUGGCUCUGAGAAGGCAGCUAAACUACUAAGAGCAUGUCAGAGCCCUUCUCCAAAGCCACUGAACGUACAAGAAGAGAGGGAAUAAAAUUCAUGAGGACUAAGACAGAGAUAAAGGCUUUCUAACUACCCGAAGCAGUGGGCUUUGAUUAGCAAGAAGAAAAUCUCGUGCUCUUUCCUGCAGUGUAUUAGUGCUAGAGAGAUGCAGAAUGCAGCUGAUGACAGAAAGCUAACAGCUGAAAGGCAAGGCGUUCCUUAGGGAAGCACUACGGAGACGUCAGUUCCCUAUAUCAAUUGGCCUUCACCUGCCAGAAGAAACAAGGCUUUUUCCUGACUCAUCCAGAAAAUCAAAAUGGAUCAUACUUAUUUAAGGGGAUGUUGAUGGUGCUCAUGGGAAUGCGUUCAAGAGAGGACUGAGCAAGACUUAGUUCACUGGGCUGUAUCAAGAGUAGUGCAGACACGUGGUGCCAUGCAGCUAUCUCCUUAUUUUGAUACAUGCACAUAUGCAUAUCACACAUUUCUUAGAGCCUAGUGAUAUAAUUAGGCUCCUGUAAAUGGAACAGAUUUGCUUAAAGUAUAGAUGGUCCAGGAGGAUGAAAUCAGCGCUAGCGGCUUGGUUUCUCCUUUUGAGCUUGGUGUCUCUUUUUCUGCCUGCUUCAUUUACUGAGUGACCUGGGACAAGUUUCUAUAGCUAUGCUUCAGUUUUCCCAUAUUAAAAACAGGCUGAUGUUACUGCAAAGCAUUGGAGAUCUCCUAAGGAAAGACACCACGUGAGAGACUUUUCUAUUUUAAACACUGAAAAGUGCUAGCCAAAUGCUAGUUCUUAAAUACAGCUGGUGAAUAUGUAAGGGAAAUUGAUUUCAGCAGAAGACUCCAUCACUUAAUUGAGAAGUCAAUAAUCAUCUUACAUACCAGCAUUUAAAUAUUUGAUCAAAAACAUUCAGAUAACAGUAUAUUUUUGGCUCAGGCUGUGCACUGGAAAGCAGGGAAAACAUGGCAUUAGAGUCAGUAUUAAAUACUAUGUUGACAGAGAAUACAAAUGUCAGUAUGACCAUCCUAGAAAAUAUAUUUCAGAAUAUGUGAAAUUAAAUGACUCAGGAUUACUCAUGAUGUUAUCCUACAAGAAGCAGCAGAAGCUCUGAUUUCAGGGGAACACUUGAAAUCGCUAACAAUGUAAAGAAAAUACAGUUACAAAAAACUUCCUCGGUAAAGAAACACAAAGGCUUCAACCUCCAAAGAUGAGCACUGCAAACCAAAAGCAAGACAGAAUGCUAAAAAGCCCUACAGGAAUCUCGGUACAUUGUUGGGGGGAAAAAGGGAAAAAAACACAAACAAAAAUGGCUAAAAGAUUUCUGUGGAAGGGGCAGUAAGAAAAGAGUCUGGCUUGUCGUCUUACAAGGGUGCUCAUAGAUGUGAACAAAAAUAUGGAAAUUAUUCGGAGCAAACGCAGAAGUAUUUAAAUGAGAAUACAUGGCUCAGUCAGGAAACAGGAAAGACAAAAAGCCCAACACUAUGCUAUCAUGGUAGAGCUCAAAGAGCUGGAAGGUCUUUAACUCCUGGCAAAGCUGGUGACCAGUUGGCCUUCCAGCCAGGCAAUGGUGGCAAGAUGGAAUGGUGCUUUCCCAACAGAAACUGUGCUUGAGCAAACCCAAACUUUCUCCUGGCAUCAGUGAGUACUGCCAAAGCCACAUGUUAAAGGAAUUAGAAAUAUUUGGUUACAUCUUUUCAUUUUGAUGCUUCAGAAGAAUUUUUCAACUGUAUUUUUAACACAAAACAAUCUUCAAACAUUAAUAUCUGAACACUGUUAAUUUUAACUGGAAAUAUGUUUAAUUUUGAAACUUAUAUCAUUCUAUUCAAAAUGCAAACAAAUGUCCAAAUCUUCCUAUCUCCUGUAAGCUACAGAUCCUUGUAUCACGCUAUUGCUAGAUUUUCAGGCUUUGCAGGCAUCCAUUUGAGAAUUUGUACCACAAUACAAGAAAAAGGCAGACUUUGAAACUGUGAGGUAUGUUGUUGUUAUUCAUAUAGGAUACAUAGGGAAACUUGUAAGCAAACGUGUCUUUAGCUCACAGAAUCCAACCAAAAUGUUAGACAUCAGGGCUGUUGUCUGAUAAACUCCCCAGUGCACAGUAAAUGGCAUCCUCACACUUUCAGUGAAGAAAGAGGACUUUGCUAGUAUUUCUGGGUACAGUAAAAGCAUCUGAUGAUGCAGAGUGGUCAUUCCUCUUGAAUGUUGCCCUCCUUUUGUCUGGGCUUGGUUUUAUAUUUAGAAAUGCUAUAAAUAUAAGAUAUUUAGUCAAAUAAAAUAAUGUUUGGGUAGAUGAUUCACUUGUUUAAUCUCCCCCCAAAAAGGCUGCAGAUAGGGCUGUCUGUUUUCACUGCAUCUGUUCAUCUGGCAGAAAAAAAUAAUUUCAAGGGGAAUGUUGGAAAAACCAACUCUUUCUUCCCAGAUGCUCUAUUUCCAUAUCUCUGAUGCCGUCUCACUUCAAUUCUCCUCUUUAGAUUUCCAUGAAUUAACUAGUGUAGGGCAGGUACCAAGCUCCAAAGGAAGUAUUCAAAAGAAGUAAUGACUGCACAUAAUGAUGACUUUGGAAGCUGUGAUCUGUUUCCUAUACUAAGAAAAACCCAACAACAACCUUCUGGGACCAGUUCAAUUCAUGGAAAAGUUUUGUCUCAUAGGAUGCUUUUAUCUCAAGUUCCAGAAUGAAACUGUAAUCUAGAACCAAGUAUGCCAUUUCCAACUAGGUGGAUAAUGCAACAUUUGUUUGAACUCAUUUAUUACUAAUUUUGUUUAUUCUAUGGGUUCAUUCUAUAACUAACCAAGGUCUCUUUGGUGCUUAGGAAAAAAAUUCCAACUAUAAUGCCUCUUCUAUUUUUUUUAAUAAAACAUAUUAAAUCAAAUAUGAUAUACUUCAAUUAAAAGUACUGGCCAGAAUAAUAGAUAUCUGGGAAGGAAGUUUGGAAUAACUUGUAUCAAAUCCAACUUGGGAUUCUUUCUAUCUCCUUAAUUUUUAUCAUGACGAAGUGUAAGGAAUCUGCCCUCAAGAAAAAUUUGUCAGAUAAGGUAACACCAGGCCUUACACUGCAGCAAAUGGAGUUAAUUACACCAGUGCAAAGUUCAGUCAAGGUAUAGAGCAAGGGAAAAUGAGCCAUUUAAAAAAAAAAAAAAUGGGCACAAGAUUUUUAUAGACUCCAUUUCAAGGAACAGACAAUAAUGGGGGAAAAAAAGAUCAGAAAAAUAACAGAAGUAACAGUGAGAGGCCCCUUUGCCUAUACCCUUCCUCAUGCAACUUUGCAACUACAAAAUUAUAUUACACUGAAACACUGUUAAGUAGGGGAAUCCUGCUCUCCCCAGACAAAAACUGUAGAUAAAACUCUUCCAAUGUCUGAAUUAAAAAGUCAGCCAUCAAAAAAGAACUGUUUUUCAAAUGUACAGCCAAAAUGGAUUGGUAAUAUAACGUGAUCAAGUAGCUACUGCAUGCAAUUGGAUGGCAAAUCUGUAUAUAACUUAAUAUAGCUUCUAUUGUGCCUCUUCCACAUUAUGGUUUUGAUGUUACUGUCUCGUGAGUAGUGCUGGAGGAAACUGCAGUGGGAAAAGGAGGUUCCAACAUGUAAUUUGGUUUUGUCCUAAAAUAUAGACACAUUGUCAGGAAAUAGUAACUGUUACCAAAAAUACUGCUGGAAUGAAAAGUAUUGUGUUCUCUCCACUGGAAAUAAUCUUAGAAGACGAUGAUACCAAAAUAGCUAACACUAAAACACAAAGUCCCAGCAAGGAGAACGUGCCCUGAUUCAGCAGAGCAGGUAAAUACGUAGGAGUUCUGCCCAGUUGAAAUCACUCGUGUGCUAGGAUUUAAACACGUGCUUCUCACUGAAUAUCCUGAGCUGGAUGGGACCCACGAGGACCAUCAAAUCCAACCCCUAGUCCCACACAGGGCCACCCAAAUCCCAAACCCUAUGUCUGAGAGUGAUAAUCUGCCAGUGUUGGAACAGAAAUUAGAGGAGCAAUUCCACUGCAACCCGUGGGCUUGUGUAGACUUGAUGAAGGCCCCAGGCCUUGCGUUGUUUCAAUGGCCUCCAUGAGCAGAUCAUGGAAGGCAGCCAGUCUGAGGUGUGCUCCCUUGUGCCUUGAGGUGGCAGCUUGUGACCCUCCCUCACACAAAAGGAGAAAUGCUCUGCUGUAAGCUUCAGACCCAGGGAAAUACUUCAGAAUCCAGGUUCUCAUUUUCGCCUGUUUGAUCUUUUCUUUUUCUUCUCUUUCCUCAUUCUUGAGUAUUUAGCUCCAUCCCACAGCUCCUGAGUAGAUGUGUUAAAAAUAAAAUAACAACCAGGGGUGGGAUUUUCCGAAGUGCAUGGCAUUGCCUGACACUGUUCUCUUUGAAGUCAGCAGGAGUUUUAUUAUCAACUUCAAUGGGAGCGGUUAAGCCAAUGCUACACAUUGUGAACAUGCAUAUUCAUGAAGCAAGCAGCAUUUGCUAAUGGUACAUGGAUUCAAAGGGCUGAUAAGAAUUUAGUGGGAAUUAGAAUUUAGUUGAAGAAAACACAUAGUUCCACAAGCACCAGAAGCAGGAAAUACUGCUUGCCGUGAGCUUGAUUGACAUGGUUGGUGGAGAAGGUGUGUGCGCUGAUGGGAGUGAUGUUCUCCCAGAUGGAUUCUCCAGCAUCCAGUGAAGGCUCAGCACACCAUGGCAGCUUUUCCUCAGUAGAAGUAGGGCAUCUCUCUUCUACCCCUGCCUAUCUGCUCAAACCUUCAGGGAACUUGCUAUUUUUGAGACAGCUUUCCUCUAUCAGGUUUGGCUGGAGUUGGAUAAUGCACUUAAAAGUUGCUAGGGAUAUACACAUAUGUAUGCACACACUCUGCAUGAACAUGAAAUCCACACUUUUGUAGGAAGGCAUGUUAAGAGAGGCUGCUCAGAACCGAGCUUUAAGGGAGUGAAAGAGGUGGUUUUAGACCAGAUGAUCAGCGAAAAGCUUCAGAUAGAUGAACUGUGAGCCUCUGAGAAUCUCAGCUAUGGAGAAGGUGCUAAGAGAAGGGCAAUCCUUGAGGAAAGAGGCUGAAGACAAAAAUAUGGUCCUUGGGAGGACUAAUGAUAAUGAUUGCCAAGAUAUAAGUACAUUCAAGAUAAGAAACUGAGGUAUACACACACAACAUUUGCUCAAAAUAUCAAAUAAGAAAAUACAGCAUUUUAGGAGCUGUUCUUUUAGGGAUGGAAGUGCAGCCCUUCUGGAAAUCCAGGCCAUUUGCAAACAUCUUUUUCUGUGCAAAGAAAACAAAUGGAAUCGGCAACAACGACUGGUCCCUUUGGCAUCAGGGCUAACACAGCCCAGGAGAAAGACGCAGAAUUGGCUAUGGUCCCCAAGCUCCUUUCAUAUGUGAAUCCAUCCUCCCAGAAACAAAGCCUGGCAAUGAACCUUUCCUGCCAAGAGCGGCCUACUGCCAGCCCAGGUGCUCCCACGCGCUGUCACUGCCUCUGGCACCAGGGCUGUCCACAGAAGAGAAUCGAUUCUCUCGCCACCCCACAAUUUCCACACCACUGACAACUCUGAAAACAAUUAAAAAGGGAAUUCAAAGGAUCUGUUGAAAUUUCAACGAGGAAAUCUGAGUGAGUGAGCAUAUGUAAAUAGAAAGAAUGAGUAGCACAUAAUUACAUCAAAUUGUUACUUAGCAGGGGAAGUAAAUAACCCAAAAUAUGCAGAGCAAAAAAUGGCGAUGAAUUAGAACUAAUUACUUAAGGCUAAUUAAAAUAAGAAUGGCUUGAAUUGAAAUAUGCUAAUAGCAUUGAACCUGCCACCUACAAGGGAAUUUAAAUAAAAAUGAUGAUGUUGCAUCAACUUUCACCUGAUGGCGGGUGAGAAGUUGGGAAUCGGAGCUCAGUCUGCUUUGGGGUUAUUGACAGCAACGAUGCAUUACUUAUGAUAACUCCUGGAGCUGGAAUUUUCUGGUGGGUGGAAGACUCCUGGUCAAGGGAAGAGAGAGUCUGUGCUGGAUAAUAGAUGUGGAGAAAGUACUGCAAAAGGCAAAGCCCGAAUCCCCUGAAGAUGAAUAGAUCCAGAGGUGCCUCCACAUGCUGGGGAGGGCUUUGGCUGAGAGUAAGAGGUACAGAGGUAAUGAGAUGAUGGGGAAAGAAAGAGAAACAUGGAAUAAGAGAGACUGAGGGAGCAAGAGGGAGUGAAAUAGAUAGGGAGAGUCUAGAGCCAUGACAAAUCAUCACCAGCUUCAAUUACAUGAGCCUGCUGGGCUAUGAAAUCUGCUGAAGGUCACUGGAUUCUUGUAUUUGUAAUUAAGAAAAAAGCAGCUGGCCCGUUUCACCCCAUGGCCCAACCACCUGGGGCAAGAGUUUGGAGAGUGGUGGCAUUGCCUGGGGCUGCAGGUACCUGCACUGGGAGCAGAGCACUGGAAGUUUGCCCAGAGAGCCUGUGCUCACCACAGUGCCCCAACUCCACCUCUGCUGUGUUCACCACUUGGUCCCCCCUCUCCAGUUCCCAUGGUUUGCACUGGGGAUAGAAGCCUUUCAUCCCCUUGCUGCCCUGGGGUUCUCCUGAAAACCAAGAGCUCCGCAUCCUGGCAUGCUGCACAGAGAGGGGCUGCUGGGUGGGUGCAGGGCAGUGAUGCAGCCUUUCCAUUUUUGCUCCGACAACCUGGCUGGCUUUAUAGCCAAGUGAACAGAAAGCUGGUGCCAGACCUGCUGCCAGCUGGUGCAUCCAAAGGGAUUCAUCCUGGAGCUGAGCAUCUGGAAAAGGUUUCAAGCCUGGGGAUGGCUGAGUCCCUCCCUGGUGGUUUUGGGGUGCUGUGAGCCAGCAGCAGAGGUGCUGCAGUCACAUGGCGUUGUCCUGCCUGUAACAGCACUCCCAGUAUGGACCAGCAGCUGAGACCAGUUUUGAAAAACCUGCUCAUUAGCACUGACAUGCUGCACAAGCCCUGCAAUGGUGAUGGUACCAAACCUUGGAUCAGCUGCUUGAACUGUGAUGUGGGGAUGACCAUCCCAGUGCUCGGUUUACAUCAAAAUCUCAGCCAAGAUGGAUGAUGGUGGGAUGUGCCCUUUGCUGAGCACCAGGGCUCAGGGUAAACCCAUACCAGGGCAGCCACGAGGUAAUCUCCAUUCCUCCAGCCUACUGCACAGAAAACAUCACCUCCUGAAAAACCAUGUUUCAGACUGCACAACAAAUUACAGCAAGACAGGAGCAGGACCCUGCAAACCUUCUGCAGAUGUCCCAGCGCUGCUGCCCGCUCCCAGGAGGGAAGCCCUGGCCCCACUGGGAGCAUCACGCAGCCAACGGCACGACGCUCCCUCUUUGUUUCUCUGCUCGGUGUAAUGAAUCCUGCCUCCCACUCAGAGCUGCUAAGAGAAGUUACCGACGAGGAGAAAUUCAUCAAAUUGUAAUCCAGGGAGAACACGAGAGAGAGAGAGAGAGAAGGCCAACAACAGCACUAGACUUGGAUGAUGUGAACUGGUGGAGAGAGCAGCAGCCUUCUGCCUCUCCUCACAUGGUUGGGAAGGGCGGAGCAGAUCCAGAGCCACCGCAUCUCUUCACACCUGGCUGGAACCAGGUCAGGCAGCUAAUGCGUUCCUUGGGUUCGGCCGCGACUUGUUGGAGACAGACAAGCGCUGGAGGCUGGGAGAAGGAAUUCCAGCGAGAGACAUAUGUGGGGGAUGCAGUGCCAGGAGAGCCAACAGCAAGCUGGAGACGGAGAGCUCUGCUCCGUGCAACGCAGAGAGGCAGAUCUAAUAGAGGCUUGAUGACUUUGAAACUGUCCCUCAUAGCCUCAAUUAAGACAGGAGAUUUCAUUAAGCGCACAAGCAAUGCUCAUGCCCUGCUGAUGGGCAACAUUCCAGCUCCGGAGGUGAUCACUGUCCGUGUGGGUUCAUUAUUCCAGCAGCAGACGGUGCUUUAUUCCAGCUUUAACUCCGUGCAACUCAGGGAGGAGCGGUACCGGGCCCACAUCAAACUAAGGGAAUCUCACGAGGAUGGGGAGGAGAAAUGCUCGGAAGAACUGAUCGUCCCUCAGAGCGUUUUCACGUGGAGCAUUUACGUUUUCCCUUCAGCCAAAACUUUUUCCUGGUUUUAUAAUUUAUUUUUUAAGUAAGUUGAAAGAAUGUUAUCCAGUUCAACCCUGGGUCUUUCAAGUGGAAAUUAGAAAUGUUCAGUUUUCUUCAGCGUCUCCUUUCUCUUUUCCCUCCUGCUAUCACACUUUCUACUUAGACUGAAAAGAAUAGGGAAAUGAGGGAAGGGAAACAAAACCAGAGGGAACGCUUUUUCUAUUAGAAGCAGGGGACUCGAGAAAACUUAAAAAAAUAAGUUUUUUUUUAUGAAUGAUUUUGAAGAAUCCAAGAGCUUGAUGCAAAAUUAGGGCAAAAAUAAAAAAAAACUAAAAAAGGAAGGAAGAAAGGAAAAGAAAUGCCUCAUGUGUGUGAAACCAGCCCUAAAAAUGAGCAGGGAAUGCUUUGCUCCAGUGUCCUGCGCAUCGGAGUCACCUUCUCCAGCCUCCACCCGCAGCUGUGAGCUCCUUGUGGCAACAAAUUCAGAGAGAAAAGAAAUGUAAUUCCUCCCUUCAAGUCAAAAAAAAAAACCAACAAAAAAACAAAUCAAGUCAUGGGAAUGGCCAAGUUUUGCUUCAGAAGAUAUUUAACACUUCAUUUUGCUUCAUCUCUUUUUGAAUACUUCUUAUAAAAGACAAAGGCUUUAAACAAAAGGUCAUUAAGAGAUAAAAAACUGAAGCUCUUCUUGCAAGAAUGGAAAAGAAGGCAUCUUGACAUUUUUAACGGGUCUUUUUUUGUCCUCUUUUCCAAAAUGAAAAUUAAUCAACAUUGAUUUGAUUUCACACACAGAAGCCCCGUCCGUGGAUGUGGCAUUUGCUGACGGAGAGCUGAUUCGACAAGAAGAUUCCAGCCCAUUCUGCGGGAGGAGCACGGGAUGUCAGCAGGGUAGAGUCACAAGGACACCACUCUCCCAGGGUCCACAAUAAAUCCCGUCCUUUUUCUGGGUCAAGAAGCUCAGAGCUGUCUGGAGGUUAUGCUAACAUGCUGGGGUUUGGGGACUGAUGUCAAGAUCUGAGGAAUUCCUGUUGCCUGGAAUAGAAACAACGGAAUUGUUCCAAGGCACCAUUUAUCCCCAGGUGCCUGGGAGCUGUCAUUUCUGGAGAAGAUGAACAACCUGAGAAGAUCUAAUAUCUUCAGAAAUAAAUCAGCAAGACGUUUCAUUCAGCUCCCCCUGUGAAUAACGCAUGGGAGAUGCAACUUGUGUUAUCCAGAGGCAGGGGAGGGCAGUUGGAGCCGACCACCAGCUGUCCUCACACCUAGUGCAGGAGGGCUGGCUGCUGAGUGAGGGGAUCACUCUUCCCCAGCAGGCCCGUGCGACUCCUAGGUAUCUUUGGGAGGCUCCAGGCCCUUGCUGGGCAGUCCCUGCCCCAUCUCCCCUCAUUGCCAACACAGUUCUUGUCCCUAAUGAUGGCUGCGCGUGCUGAACCACAAUGAAAUUGCCCUGGUUUGGAUGCUGAGAAAGGCCCCAAAUACUCAGCAACAUACAAGACUGCAGCACGUGCCUCUGCCAGGAUGGAGAUGGAUGCCACCAUCCAUCCAGGAGGAUGUCCUGCUCACUAUGAGAUCUCGGUGUGGACUCCCCCACUGCUAGGGGGGCAGGACUUGAGCAGGGUACAGGAUCUGGAGAUAUAAAACCUCCCUUGAUGUCCUCCAUGCAACAGCAAUCCAAGCAAAACACUCUCCUCCACAGUCUAAGGACUAGAUAAGGACCAAUGUGGUGGAGCAGGGCACAAGCAGAGGAUGCUACAAAUGAGCUCUUCUUGGACCGCCUUUGACUGCCCAGAUGAGAGAAGGAGAUUUUGAGGAAGAGUUUCACACCCAGGCAAGAGAAAAGGAGACUGAUGGCUACAGGUGGGUGAAUGUGCCAGUCCUGGAGCCACACAGCUCUCAUGGACAGCUCCAGCAUCACCCCAGACAACCUGGAAGGAAGCAAGGACAGCACAACUUGGUAUCAGCAGCAAAACCUGUUUGAAAAUGGCUCUUUGGCCACCAUGGCUGUGUGCUCAGCGCCCACCCAGGGAACAGCCCAUUUGCAAGCCUGGUUUCCCUGCUGUUGCCUUGGGGAGCAAAACAGCAGCGAGUUCAAUGCUGUGUGUGCUGCUUCCAGAACUAAUUGGGGUUUGCAGUGCUAGUACUGCCUGGUGCCUCCACAAAAUGGGCCACGGCCCACUAAGCAAAGCACGGGAGUCCCUCUCCCAGCAGGGAGGUAAAGGCAGUGCUGUUUCUGAUAGAAGGACCCUCCAGCUGUAAUUACUGAGAUGUACCCAUUCCUUUUGCUCCAGGGACUGGAACAGGCCAGCCACCACCACAUCAGCCCUCAUAAACUCUGGAAUAAAAUAUAUUCUGUGCAAGAAGACAACUGAUGUCACGUGGCCCACACACACAGAGUCACUCUUCUGUGACACCAUGAGCUCCUCAAAGUAUCCAGGCUGUCCUCCACAAAAGGAGAGUAUUAGUCCAUCCGCCACAACCCCAACAGACCACAAUCCCAUGUCAUAGGAGCUGCUUCCUCCCACUCAGAAAAUGCUGCUUUCUUGGUUGGCUUGUUUGGUGAUGGUGUUGGGUUUUUUUGUGGUUUUUUUUUUUGCAUUUGUGUGUGUGUGCUUUUCCUCCCAGAAGAAAACUAGAUGUUUUCUCCUCUUCAGCUAAAUGCCAACACUUAAACUCCCUGGUGGAAAUUUCAGUUAACUCCAUUAAAAUCCCCCAGCCAUUCCUGCUCAUUUUUUUUGCUGAAGAGCUUGUCCCCUCAGGAGCAAAGAGACAGAUAGACCUGCUUCUCUGUAACAAACCUCACUUAUCAGCUAUAAUCAGGUGACAUUCCAGGCCCGGCUCUCUUCUCAGCAUUCAAGUACACAACUUUUCAGGCUGGCAAGUCUGUUCCAGUCAUGCCAUUGAGGAGAAGGGCAGGUGACAGUCCCCUCCCUGCCCUUCAGAUGUGGGAAUGAGAUCCCUUCUCAGUUAACUUCAAUAUCAUCUCUAAGAUUUUACCGACCACGGCUUAGUGUGGAUGCGCACUGGAGAUCUCACAGCCUCUUUGGCCACUCGUCCUGGUGGUGCACCGCACUCCUAGUGCACAUCUCUUUGCACACACCCAACCUGAACCUCCCAAGCUGCUUUCAUGCCCACUGCCCCCAGCCAGUCCAGCUGCCACUAUUCAAAAGAGCUUGAUUCUAUCACAUUUUGCAUGGUCUGUCCAAGCAGCUGUAGGUAUUUAAUGCUGGCAUUCAAACCUGGAUCCUGCUGGUCAGCAUGCUGUAGAAUCUCUGGAUGCCCUGAAACACUGGUCUGACAGUGCUGGUGAAGGGAGUAUUGGCACCACACUGAAGUAUAAAAGUAGGCCACAGACUU